rnacentral:rRNA from 1 species
ACGAGACCCAUACACAGGUGCUGCAUGGUUGUCGUCAGCUCGUGUCGUGAGAUGUACGGUUAAGUCCGUGAACGAGCGCAACCCCUGCCCUUAGUUGCUAAUAUGCGAAAGCAUAUGCACUCUAAGGGACCGCCAGCGGAAAGCUGGAGGAAGGUGGGGAUGACGUCAAAUCCUCAUGGCCUUUAUGUCCAGGGCUACACACAUGCGACAAUGGUCGAGACAACGCGUUGCAAACCAGUAAUGGUAAGCUAAUCGCAUAAAAUCGACCUCAGUACGGAUUGAGGGUUGCAAUUCACCCUCAUGAAGCUGGAGUUGCUAGUAACCGCAGGUCAGCUAUACUGCGAUGAAUACGUUCCCGGGGCUU